rnacentral:rRNA from 1 species
AGCGAACGCUGGCGGCAGGCUUAACACAUGCAAGUCGAGCGGGCAUAGCAAUAUGUCAGCGGCAGACGGGUGAGUAACGCGUGGGAACGUACCUUUUGGUUCGGAACAACUGAGGGAAACUUCAGCUAAUACCGGAUAAGCCCUUACGGGGAAAGAUUUAUCGCCGAAAGAUCGGCCCGCGUCUGAUUAGCUAGUUGGUGAGGUAAUGGCUCACCAAGGCGACGAUCAGUAGCUGGUCUGAGAGGAUGAUCAGCCACAUUGGGACUGAGACACGGCCCAAACUCCUACGGGAGGCAGCAGUGGGGAAUAUUGGACAAUGGGCGCAAGCCUGAUCCAGCCAUGCCGCGUGAGUGAUGAAGGCACUAGGGUUGUAAAGCUCUUUUGUGCGGGAAGAUAAUGACGGUACCGAAAGAAUAAGCCCCGGCUAACUUCGUG